rfam:Candidatus Staskawiczbacteria bacterium RIFOXYA12_FTLL_37_10 rifixya3_full_scaffold_600, whole genome shotgun sequence.
GGGAUCGUGGUGUAGCAGCAACACAACUCUCUGUGGCAGAGUCGUCGCGGGUGCAAUUCCCGUCGAUCCCC